rnacentral:rRNA from 1 species
UACGUAGGGGGCAAGCGUUGUCCGGAUUCAUUGGGCGUAAAGAGCGUGUAGGCGGCCAGGUAGGUCGGUUGUGAAAACUGGAGGCUCAACCUUCAGACGUCGACCGAAACCAUCUGGCUAGAGUCCGGGAGAGGAGAGUGGAAUUCCUGGUGUAGCGGUGAAAUGCGCAGAUAUCAGGAGGAACACCGGUGGCGAAGGCGGGUCUCUGGACAGUUCCUGACGCUGAGGCACGAAGGUCAGGGGAGCAAACGGG